GAAAAACCUAAUCGUGUUUCAUUCUGAAACUUUAUUCCUCUCUUCUCACUGUCGUGCUGAAUCUCUUUCUAUCCACCAUCGCGAUUCCUCUCUGUCGAAUGCUCCUGCAUCUUCGUGUAUCAUCACCGUUAAGCUAAGCGCUUCUACAACGUCGUGAAUCCUCAUUGUCGCCGAUGUCACAUCCAUUUCGAGCAUCUCAAUUCUAGGUUUAGAGUUGCGGAAUCGCUAGAGCAUCGGUCACGUUUGGAGUUGAGAAAGCCAUCACCCAUACCACCACGACUAGUCUUCUUUGCAACAAUCUGAACACUCGAGGUAAAACUUGUAGGUGUUCCGGAAAUGAACUAUACAUCUGAUGAUCAGCCGAACCCCCAUGGUGAAAUUUGUAUCAGGGGUCCCAUUAUUUUUCAAGGAUAUUACAAAGAUGAAGUUCAAACGAGAGAAGUCAUUGAUGAAGAGGGAUGGCUGCAUACCGGAGAUAUUGGAACAUGGAUAGCUGGUGAAACAUCAGUGUAUCACCAUCUUAUUAAUAGUCUAUAUUAUUUAGCAAGUUUCAUUCUUUAUAAAAAUUUUAAGUUGUUAAUGAGAUUGCUUAAUUUUAGAAAGUUUAUUUCCAAACUCAAAUAAAUUAGUAAAUUAAUUUAACAGUGUAAUAAGGCCUUGGAAGCACAAUAAGAUUCGAGGUGAAGUUCUUCUCGGGUUUGUGGUGUAGGAUCUUUGCUUUAGAGGGAAAUUUGACAUAGCAGUAGCCAAGGCAGUUGCAGAGACGAGAAUAUUAGGUACUAUUAUGGAAUUCAUGAUAAUUUAAUACUUUAUUGCGAUGUUAACAGUCGGUAAUUUGUUUGUUUGCUGAUUUGGUGUUUGCUUCUUAUUUGUUUUCCGGCUGAGUAUUGUCUUGUGUUGGUUCAUGUUGGUGGAAUGUUUAUUGCUGCCAAGGUAACAGAUCUUAGAUUUGGUAUUUAAUGUCUGAGAGCAUCAUUAAAAAGUUAGACUUCCUAGUAUUGGGUGCAGUUUUUAAUCUCUUUCGGUUAGUGUUUAUUAAUUAAUGAUUGGAUGAUAAUGUAAGAAACUAUACACCGAUUGUAGAUCUAGAUUAAAUCCUAUAGUAUUUUGUUUUUUCAGAUUAAAAGUACAUCUUAGUGUUCCCCGCAAUUUGAAGAUCUAAGUGUUCCUCACAAGCUAAUUAUACUCACACUUUCGUUGGAUGGGAGACUCGUGAGUAAAUAUAAUUUUGGAAAGGAUCUUCUCUGUUUUCAUCAGGCUUUGCAUGUAAACUCUUUUCUGAUUAGGAUGGUUGAUCACUGUAUUAGGGGUGUAGGUGGUUCAAUGUUGCAUUUUUCUCCCUCAGAUUGGAGAUACACAGGAUGCUAUGGACUCACGUCUUCCCAUGCAUGUCAUGGCAUUUUUUUGGGCAGCCACUGCUCAUUUCCAUGAAAGAUUAUGCACAUACAUUCCCCUGUUACUGCCAUGAUUUUAUCUUAGUUACAAUCAUGAUUAAUUUUUUUGUACGUUUUUUUUUAUCAUUAUCUCUUUAUCCUUAGUCUUACUUCAUUUUGGAUGUGUCUCCACCCGGCUUUCUUUGGAAAACCUGUAUGACGGCUUAAGGCCCAUUAUGUGGGCAUAAGGCUUAAAUAAUAUUUUAAUUUAACUAAUAAAGUAAAUGAAUUUAAUAAUAGGGGAGAAAGGUUGUAGGACCAUUAAAAAUAAUAUUAAAUGUGUGUCUUUAUGCUUAGUAGAUAAGACUAAGUUAGAAUUAGCUAGUAUCACCGCCACCGUUUCUUUUAAACCGCCAUUUAGUUACUUAAUUUAGAAGAAUUAGUUUUUUGAGGCCUAUAUAAAUUGACAUCUAACCAUAAUGUAGUGGCAUCAAAAAUUUGAAUAAUAUUAGUGAGUUAUUCAUUCUCUCUAGUGUGCAAAGAGUUUUUACUAUAUGUCCUAUUAGAUAUCGAAUGGUUCCUUAUGUAUUCAAUAUUCACUAAUUCUAGUUUUUCUUUAUAUGAAUUUCGAAUGGUUUCGUUUUUCCGUUGGAUUUGUUGCAGGGAAGGGUUCAUAUGGUGCUGUUUACAAAGCCAGGGAUUAUAGGACCUCUGAGAUGGUUGUUGUCAAAGUCAUAUCAUUAUCUGAAGGGGAGGAGGAAUAUGAGGAAAUUCGUGGUGAAAUGUUGUCUGAUAUCUUGGAAGCUAUCAAGGAGAGGAGUAUCUUUGGGUAAGAACUAAUAUGAGUUUUUCUGAAAUGAACUCAUUGUUUUUAUGUCUCUGCUUUUCUGAAACUCUAGAUUUAAUGGUUUCUGUUUUUGAUUUGUGAUUAGAUUGUGUUAAUUUUUUAAACCCAUUAGUUAGUCUUUAUUCAGUUAAUUAUAAAGGAAUACUAAUCAUUUUCUUUUUAUCUCUUUCAAGCUUUAUUAAUUGGUGUAGGGUUGUUUUGACAAUAAUUGUUUGAACCAGCUCCAUAGAGUUAAAAUGAUUGCCUCUGUGAGUGAAGAUGAAGUACGUGCCUUGUGUUACCACUGCAUAUUGCAAGCAAAAUUAAGUUUCUUCAAUGGCUGCCAGCAAGCAUAUACCAGAUGAUAUUGUCUUCAUCAUUCUAUCAAAACUGCCUGUUAAAUCUUUGAAACGAUUUGGAUGCGUUCGUAAAUCAUGGUCUCUCUUGAUUAAAAUACUAGUUUCAUGAACAUGUUCCGCGAUAAUUUUUUAUGUAACUUGCAUUGUUGUUCUUAUUAUGACCAAGCAUCUCUCUUAAUGCUGGUUCAUGGUUGAAGGAUGUCUAACUUGAUUUUUUGAUUCA